rnacentral:rRNA from 1 species
GUGUCAGCAGCCGCGGUAAUACGUAGGGGGCAAGCGUUGUCCGGAUUUAUUGGGCGUAAAGAGCGUGUAGGCGGCCAGGGAGGUCCGUUGUGAAAACUCGAGGCUCAACCUCGAGACGCCGAUGGAAACCCCCUGGCUAGAGUCCGGAAGAGGAGAGUGGAGCUCCUGGUGUAGCGGUGAAAUGCGCAGAUAUCAGGAAGAACACCCGUGGCUAAGGCGGCUCUCUAGUACGGUACUGACGCUGAGACGCGAAAGCGUGGGGAGCGAACAGGAUUAGAUACCCUCGUAGUCC